GACUCAGUGCUGGCUUCCAGAUUUUUACCAAUAACCAUUCAUUUUAAGAUUCAGGAAUGAAGCAAUGCAUGUUUUGUUAGUGUGGGUGUGUAUGUGUAUAUGUUUUUUUUGGUGAGAGUUGCUUACGUUGGAAUCAUGUUAUUGUUUUGAUAAAGCUGUAAGAUUUUUUUUCAUUGGUAUUUAAUGUCUCACUGCAAUACCCAGAUCCAGUCUUCUGUCUUGUAUGAUAAGAUGUUCGUAAACAAUUCUUUAGAACUACUGUUUCAUUAGCCCUACCCCCCC
rnacentral:lncRNA from 1 species